rnacentral:rRNA from 1 species
CACGUAGGGGGCGAGCGUUGUCCGGAUUUAUUGGGCGUAAAGGGCUCGUAGGCGGCUCAGUAAGUCGGGUGUGAAACCUCCAGGCUCAACCUGGAGACGCCACCUGAUACUGCUGUGGCUAGAGUCCGGUAGGGGAGCAUGGAAUUCCUGGUGUAGCGGUGAAAUGCGUAGAUAUCAGGAGGAACACCGAUGGCGAAGGCAGGUCUCUGGGCUGACACUGACGCUCAUGCACGAAAGCGUGGGGAGCAAACAGG